UGAAGAGUUUGAUCAUGGCUCAGAUUGAACGCUGGCGGCAGGCCUAACACAUGCAAGUCGAACGGUAACAGGAAGCAGCUUGCUGCUUUGCUGACGAGUGGCGGACGGGUGAGUAAUGUCUGGGAAACUGCCUGAUGGAGGGGGAUAACUACUGGAAACGGUGGCUAAUACCGCAUAACGUCGCAAGACCAAAGAGGGGGACCUUCGGGCCUCUUGCCAUCAGAUGUGCCCAGAUGGGAUUAGCUUGUUGGUGAGGUAACGGCUCACCAAGGCGACGAUCCCUAGCUGGUCUGAGAGGAUGACCAGCCACACUGGAACUGAGACACGGUCCAGACUCCUACGGGAGGCAGCAGUGGGGAAUAUUGCACAAUGGGCGCAAGCCUGAUGCAGCCAUGCCGCGUGUAUGAAGAAGGCCUUCGGGUUGUAAAGUACUUUCAGCGGGGAGGAAGGUGUUGUGGUUAAUAACCACAGCAAUUGACGUUACCCGCAGAAGAAGCACCGGCUAACUCCGUGCCAGCAGCCGCGGUAAUACGGAGGGUGCAAGCGUUAAUCGGAAUUACUGGGCGUAAAGCGCACGCAGGCGGUCUGUCAAGUCGGAUGUGAAAUCCCCGGGCUCAACCUGGGAACUGCAUUCGAAACUGGCAGGCUUGAGUCUUGUAGAGGGGGGUAGAAUUCCAGGUGUAGCGGUGAAAUGCGUAGAGAUCUGGAGGAAUACCGGUGGCGAAGGCGGCCCCCUGGACAAAGACUGACGCUCAGGUGCGAAAGCGUGGGGAGCAAACAGGAUUAGAUACCCUGGUAGUCCACGCCGUAAACGAUGUCUACUUGGAGGUUGUGCCCUUGAGGCGUGGCUUCCGGAGCUAACGCGUUAAGUAGACCGCCUGGGGAGUACGGCCGCAAGGUUAAAACUCAAAUGAAUUGACGGGGGCCCGCACAAGCGGUGGAGCAUGUGGUUUAAUUCGAUGCAACGCGAAGAACCUUACCUGGUCUUGACAUCCACAGAACUUUCCAGAGAUGGAUUGGUGCCUUCGGGAACUGUGAGACAGGUGCUGCAUGGCUGUCGUCAGCUCGUGUUGUGAAAUGUUGGGUUAAGUCCCGCAACGAGCGCAACCCUUAUCCUUUGUUGCCAGCGGUCCGGCCGGGAACUCAAAGGAGACUGCCAGUGAUAAACUGGAGGAAGGUGGGGAUGACGUCAAGUCAUCAUGGCCCUUACGACCAGGGCUACACACGUGCUACAAUGGCGCAUACAAAGAGAAGCGACCUCGCGAGAGCAAGCGGACCUCAUAAAGUGCGUCGUAGUCCGGAUUGGAGUCUGCAACUCGACUCCAUGAAGUCGGAAUCGCUAGUAAUCGUGGAUCAGAAUGCCACGGUGAAUACGUUCCCGGGCCUUGUACACACCGCCCGUCACACCAUGGGAGUGGGUUGCAAAAGAAGUAGGUAGCUUAACCUUCGGGAGGGCGCUUACCACUUUGUGAUUCAUGACUGGGGUGAAGUCGUAACAAGGUAACCGUAGGGGAACCUGC
rnacentral:rRNA from 1 species